AGCGCCCUUGUCUCCCCUCGUAGGUUCGUACAAACCUCCUCCUCUCACCAAUUACCGCUAUUCCCAUUUCUUCCCUCUUUCUGCAAUGGAAUCCGAGGUACCCCUCUCUCUAGGAAAUCCAAUGGUAUUCCAGCAAAAAUUAUUUUUAAGCACUGAAAGGGAUUUUACAGAUCCUCUGCCGCAAAUUUGUUGUUUCCCCCACUUAUGUGGCUGACUGCAUAAAUAUAGAAGUUUUUGGCAUCCCCGACCUCGAUCUGUUAUUACUGCCAUUAAAAGAAGAAUGCUAAAUUUCAUUUCCCAGCUUAUGCAAAGGUAUGUUAUGCUUCUUUCAUUUCCCAAAGUCUACCAUCUCUUCGAUCUUUCCAAAGAAACCAGAAAGCGCAAGCACAUGAAAAUGAAAUCCAGGAGCUUCAAUCGGCUGCAGAGAAGGCCAAAACCCCUGCUCAACUUCACAACAACAAAGAAGGUGGUGUAUGCAAGGUGAACAAAGAAACUGGAUAUAAUCUUUGUGAUCAGACUUCGUCGUGUGCUCCGAUGAUUAGCGGACCUUUACCUCACCAAGCUACAUCUGUAGCUACUAUCACAGCAGGCCAACAGCCAGAAGACAACUCCCAGUUGCCUCUUGGAACUACUGAACAAGUUGAAGAAACAGCUGGCUUUACUGCUCCAGUCAUGUUUCAGCCCCCUUCCCUUGAGAUGACAAUCCCAUUGGUGGACACUUUCCUCGCUUUGUCAGUUCAGAUCCCGUUCAGUUAUAUACCCGUGGAGAAAUGGUAUGUCUUCCAAGCUUUUGUAGUGGCCACAACAGCAUUUUUUAUCUGGAAAAGGUUGCUUCACUUCAUCUUCAACUGCUGUGGUCUGGAAAUACCCCAUAUACCACAAUGGAUGCGUGCUCUUAUCGCAUACAUAAAGUUACAUCUUUCUACCACCCUGUAUGCGAUUAAAUGUGGUUGACCUUUUAUUAUGAACUAAGACUGCGUCACAUCAUGAACACUUUUAUGGGCAGUCGUCUUUAUCCUUUGUCUACCCAAAACAGAAACAAGUUUGAAGGAAAGAGCGUCCAAGACCUUGAUGCUUCAAUUGAUUCCCCCUGUUGUACUAACAGUAAUCCAAACAAUUGAAGCUGUUGUGUUCCUAGCUGGACGCUACCUGGUGAGUCUAUGCCUGUUCCUUCGAAGAUUCUUUGCAAACUAUUAAACCAAGGAUCCUUUGUAGAUUGCAGAAUAGCUUGCUCCAAUGGAUGAAACAGGAUGACAAGAGCAAUCAUCUGUGGAAUCAGAUUUCGUCCAUUUUAAAAUGCCCUCUUGGACCGCAUAUUGAGCAACUUAGCUUACCACGUAACCAGCAUUUCCUUUAUUAUGCCAUGCUGCUGCUAAACAUGGUUACCAGCUGCCACGACUUCUAUUUAUUUGCACCUUUAACUUCCUAGACCUUGUACUAUAUGCAACAUUGGUUCCUAAUGUAUCUUCUUGUUGUAUUACCUGUGUGAUUUAUGUCAUUUACAGUAAAUGAGCUGAUGAACCUUAUGCACCAGUUCUCGGCU